GAAAAGCAAGGAGACCAUCGAUUCCUAAACAAAAAACGAACCCUAAAUCGAUCCUCGCCAUAUGCCUCCCACCGCCACCACCACUUCUCGUCGUCGCCUUCCAUCCUAUCGACAUCAUACAGAAGCACUGUUCAGAUCUUGAAUGUCAAUCGAUUCUAGAAGAAAUCAAUCGAGCUGAAACCCCUGGGAGAAAACGUCGUAUACAUUAAUUUAUGUAUCAUUAUAUAAUUCUCAUGUAUUUGUAUCAAUAUAUCAGGAUCUAUACCGAUUAUUGGGAGAAAAUGUCGCUAAUUAUGAAUCGAUCUUAUGAAGGAACAACUCUCCACUUUUCGUUCUCAGAUACUUGGCUCGCAAACACAAGGUAAUGAUAUCAUGAAGAAUCCUGCUUUUAGAUCACUGUUUCAUGAGAUGUGUGCAAAAGUAAGGGGUGGAUCCGCUAGCGUCGAAUAAAGGUUUUUGGGCCGAGCCGUUGGGAAUUGGUGAUUUCUAUUAUGAGCUUGGUAAUGAUCUUGUUUAAGAUGUGAAUCUUGUCAUUUCACUGUCAAAUUGAAUUUUAUACUCUGAGAAUGCUUAUUAAAACCUCUACGAGUAAGAACUGAAGAAGGUGAUGGUAAUGAUAAGAAAAUGAAAAAUGGCGUCUGAAACUACUUACCAGAAGCACUAGCUAUAGAGGAGAUGUCGUUAACGAGAAAAGUGGAGAUGAAAGGUCGAUAAGGAUGAUUCAUGUCACACCCCGAAAUAUCAGAGCUGGCGUGACUGGACUGGUAUCUUCAUUGCACAGCGGAAGCAAAUAAGCUAAGACUCCUAGAAAAUGAACGCCACUAAGUACUCGAAUUCUCAUGGGUUCUCCUAUUCCAACCGUUCCAUAGUUUUGAAAAUGCAACCUGAGAAAGAACAUGCGAAAAAAGUCAACAUAAAGUUGAACGAGUUCAUAGUUUGUUUUGAAAAAGAUUUUAAACAAAUCCUUUUGUUUACCGGUUUAAAAGUUGUGGAGAAAAUUUAGUAAAAAUCAUUUUCUCGGCAUGAUAUAUGAAAAGUGUGAGUCUAG
rnacentral:lncRNA from 1 species